UUGUGAAGUUGAACAUUUUCUCACAAUGAAUCCGUUUGUAGACAUGCACACUCAUUUAAUCUGGAGCUACGAAGUACUUUGUCACUUCUCUGGAACAUUAUUCUAAGCAGAAUUAUCCCGAUUCAUAUAUUCUAAGAAUCUUGUGUGAAUUGUUUACGAGGAAAUUCUGACUGUCACAUUAACAAGGAUGAACACUCUUGACUCUGCUUCGGAUUCCCCAGUGAUAAUUUUAUCGAGUGAUGAAAGAGCUGACGGCGACAUUUUAAUGUAUGAUUGGCUUGGACCAUUGGAAUAAAGUCAUUUCAUGGUGCCACCACUUGGGAUGGUAUUAGCUGCAAAUAUAGACUUGUACUCAGCACUUAUUGCCUUUAAGAAGUAUGAGAUCCAUUUUGUGCUAACACCUACCGUGACACAGAAUCUUGGUUUAUGCAGUCUCAUAGGAGUAACCUGUCUAAAGCAUUUAGCAAUGGGAUUGGAACCUGCAACGUGUGACUCAUCUGAAGACUGAAUUUUGAUACCAAGCAUGACCAUGAUUUGCCAGAAGAUCAUCUGUUUGGAUGUGACAUGGAAUAAACAGCAUAGUGAAAAUAAGUCAAGUUUUGGUUUGUGAAGACAAUUUUUAAACACACCGUGUAUCAUUUUUUAAUUUUGAUUUGACAACAUAAAUCCACAAAUAUGAACAUAUCAAUUGCUCUCAGUUUUUCAAGUGAAAUAGUUUUUGUAACAGAAAUACAUGUACCAGUAAUUACAUUGGAAUAAAUGUUAUUUUUAAAUAUAAUAAUAUUUUGUUUGUGUAGCAUGUUGACCUCUUUAUUAAGGUCUUCCCUUUCAAAGUUUAGACUUGCUUAUUCUAAUGAUUAAGAUAGAUCCUCUGUCUUCAGCAGGAAUAGAAGAUCUUGUAAUACAUGUAUGUGUAUUUUUUACAGUAUAAUGUAAAAAAAAUUGUUAUUUUGGCACAUACAACUAAUUAAAGGCAUAAACAUGUGUAUGAUUCCAAGGAAUUCAGUACAUAGGGCAUGUACAUGUAGUUUUCUAAAACAAGAUUGAAGAGAUGUCCAGUCGCAUUUCAAUGUCAACUGCAAAACUGUGCCUGUUGCAUAUUUAUUAGCCCAUCUGAGCUAAAGGAACCAGGAAAUUUUUUAAAAACAUAAUUUUAUCCAUUAUCAUCAUUGUCUAAAAUUUCACAAUAUCAUUUUCCAGAACCAAAGUGAAACUUGGCACAGAGCAUCCUUAGUGUAGGGGAUUCAAAUUGUUCUUAUGCAGGGCAAUACCUUCAAAGAGAUUUGUUUCUUUAAUGCUGUAAAUGUAUUAUAUUUAGCUUGUACAAUAUUUGGUGGAAAUUGACUUUUGAAUAAGUUAGCGUAGAUAUUCUUAUUUAUGUUUAUGUACAAGACUUUUAGCUUUGUACUUGAUUUAGUGAUUGCUGCAUUACGCCAAAGCCGCUAAAAAAGAAUACACAGCCAUAUGUAAUAUGUUUACAAUAUACCUUUCAGAGAAUUUUACACUCCUAUUGAGGUAUCACCAGUUGCUAGUGGAAAGCUGCAAAUUCGAAACAUACACAACACAUUUCUGUGCGUUUAUUAUAAAAGUAUUGUUCUACUUACUAAUUGCAACUAAUGAAGAUUGUUCAUCAUUAUUGUAAAUACAUUUGGAUUUUUUGAAUUAUUAUAUAAUUUGUUUAUUUUAUU